rnacentral:rRNA from 1 species
GACAGAGGUGCCGAGCGUUAGGCGGAAUCACUGGGCUUAAAGCGUGUGUAGGCGGACGGGUAAGUACCUUGUGAAAUCCCACGGCUCAACCGUGGAACUGCUGGGUAUACUGCCUGUCUUGAGUCAUCUAGGGGCGAGCGGAACAAAUGGUGGAGCGGUGAAAUGCGUAGAUAUCAUUUGGAACGCCAAUGGUGAAAACAGCUCGCUGGGGAUG